ACUCCGUGUUGUCGUGUGAACUGCAGGCACACAUGAACAUCGACACUUUGAACGCAAAUGGCGGCCCUCG
rnacentral:rRNA from 1 species